UACGUAGGGAGCAAGCGUUGUCCGGAAUCAUUGGGCGUAAAGGGCGCGUAGGCGGCUCGGUCAGCGUGCGGUGAAAGCCCGGGGCUCAACCCCGGGUCGGCCGUGCGAACUGCUGGGCUGGAGCACUGUAGAGGCAGGUGGAAUUCCGGGUGUAGCGGUGGAAUGCGUAGAGAUCCGGAAGAACACCGGUGGCGAAGGCGGCCUGCUGGGCAGUAGCUGACGCUGAUGCGCGACAGCGUGGGGAGCAAACAGG
rnacentral:rRNA from 1 species